AAAUGCAUUAAUCUGGGUGCAGUGGCUGAUGCCUAUAAUGCCAACACUUUGGGAGGCCAAGAUGGAAGGAUUGGUUGAGCCCAGGAGUUUGCCACCAGCCUGGACAACAUAGCAAGACCUUGUCUCUACAAAAAACUUUUUAAAAAAUUAGCCAGGGAGGGUGUUGCAUGCCUGUGGUCCCAGCUACUUGGGAGGCUGGAGUGGGAGGAUAGCUUAAGCCCAGGAGUUUGAGGCUGCAGUGAACCAUGACUGCCCUGCUGUACUCCAGCCUGGGCUACAGUGAGGCCCAGUCUCAAAAAAAAAAGAAAAGAAAAGAAAAAUGAAAAAGAAAAUCCAUGAAUACAUUUGUAAGAAGGUGGAGAUAAUCAAAUACAAGGACAAAUUGAUGAUGCAGGAAAGGGAGGAAGUAACUGGAGGAGAGAAGUCUGCGAAAAGGUCUUCAUAUGGCUCCUCAUGAGGAACAUUCCACAAAAUAACUGACCAGCACUCUUCAGAAGUGGCAAGGUCAGAAGAGACAAGGCGAGACUGAGGAGCUGUCCCAGGCUAAAGGAGGCUAAGGACACAGGACAACUAAAUGCAAUGUGGAGUCCUGGAUAGGAUCCUGAACUAGUAAAAGUACAUAGGUGGAAAAACUAAGACUGUAUCAAUUAGAGUUCUCGAUUGUAAGCAACACAAACCAACUUUGGUUAAACAAGAUUUAUUGGAAAAGCAUCAGCGUGCAAAGGAGGAGCCUGGAGUUGAACUAAGGCAGACCGGCUCCAGAGACCCAGCUCCUAACUGUUAUAUUUUACUUCCUUUUGACAAAUAAAUAAGCAUUUAUUGAGGCUUUCUGUGUUCCAGGCCCCGGAGAUACAAAAUUGAACAAAGACUUGGUUACUGAACUCAAUUACUCCGGACAAUGCUGGUAUUCCCAGUCCUGAAUGAAUGCCAUGCUCCAGGCAGGUGCUUAAUAAAUGGCAAUUGAAGGAAUCCAUCAACCAUUGUGGUAACUAGCAUCCAAGAUGAUCUCCACUUCCAUUGAGUAGUCCUUCUCUAUACUGAAUAGCAUCCUGCUGGACUAAUAUAAGAGGGUGGAAGUGAUGGUAUAUGAUUACUGAGGCUAUGUCAAUCUCCUUUUCAAGGGUCACCUGCUCUGGGGCAGCUAGCUACCAUGUCACAAGGACACUCAAGCAGUUCAGUUUUACAUGGUGAGAAGUUGUGGCUUCCUGCUAACUGCCAUGUGAGGGAGCCUUUUUGGGAGCAGAUCCUUGAGUCCCAGUCAAGCCUUCAGAUGGCUACAGCUCUGGCUGGCACCUUGAUUCAACAUUGUGCAGAACCCUGAGUCAGAACCACCUAGCUAAAGUGUUCUUCAAUUCUGGACCCACCAAAACCAUGGGAGAUAAUAUUUAUGAUUGUUUUUGGUAGCUAAGUUUUAGGGUAAUUUUUUGUGCUGCAAUACAUUAAUGAUACACCCAUUUGAUGAAUAACUGUCAAACCACCUCUUACCUUCCUGUGUCCUGGGCUUCCUAUUAUAGCAUUGUCAUGACAAUAUUUGAUCGUUUACAUGCCUGUGUCCACCAGAUGGCCUGAGGACAGGGAUGGUCCUUUAUUUCUGGGUCUCCAGUGCCUGGUGCCGUACUUGACAUACAGCGGGUACUCAAUAAAUACUUGUUGAAUGGAUGAGAAGUGGAGAAGGCAGUCCUAAUCCUGUCUUUAUCCAGGGUUCUCUAACAAUCCUACUAAAUAUUGUCACUGGGGAGAAGGAAAAGGGAUAGAUUUUCUUUAGAACCCUGAAAUCAGUAAGUUUUUUUUCAUUCCUUGACUUCCAAUCAUCAACCUGUUCCAAAGAUGUCUGUGUUCCAAAGAUAGCUGAAAUAGAAGCAGAAAUGUUUAGCACUGAGAUUAAUGUCCUCCCACUCCCCACAUGGGUUGAGGAAAGGCAAUUCCUUACAUGCUACAAAGGUAUAAAAUGACCCUUCAUAGGUCAUUUCAGCGGGCUGACUUGUCACUGGUUUGUAAAUGACACAAUGUGUAGAAACUAGUUAUAUUCAAAAUGUGCCUCUUUCCAUCUACUUAGAAAAUUAACAAGCAACCAUUAAAACUUAUGAGAAAUAUUGAUCAAUAUGGAAAAUAUAUAAUGUUCAGUGAAAAAGCCAGUAAUAAAAUUACAUGUGCAUCACAAAGACUGUAUUGAACACCUCUUCAGGUCCUCUUGGCCCCACCUAUCUCUUAGUCUAGCCACUGCUGGAGUAACCAGUUGUGGGUCAAUUCCAGUCAGCUUCUCACCGGUGCACCCUGAUAAAUGCCCCAUUUCUCUAGCCUCUCACCUUGGGGCUUCUCUGUUGACAUCAUUGCCUGGACUUAGAGGAAAUCCACUCAGCACUGAUGCAAGGGCAGUCCAGAAGUGUGGCGGAGUCAACACCCCAUGGGGAAAGCCUUUGACAAAUGGGGGCUGGGAAGCCAUGGAAAAAUGCUUCCUUCUUUCUUUCCUCGCUCAUUGAUGUGGCUCCUCAGAUGGUUCUGAGUUGUACUCAGCUGUGGCCAGUUCCAUCAUUCAGCCUUGUCUGCUUUGCUCCCUCACCGUUUGCUUUUGCUCCCUGGA
rnacentral:lncRNA from 1 species